ACUCCAUUUGGGCUAUACCAGUUCAAGGUUAUGCCCUUUGGGAUGAAGAAUGCCCCGGCUACUUUUCAGAGGAUGGCCCAUAGGCUCCUAGAGGAGUUCCAGGACUUCGCAUGUGCGUAUCUAGACAAUAUUGCCGUCUACAGCCGCACUUGGGAAGACCACCUGGGGCACUUGUCCAGGGUACUCAAGCGGGUCUCACAUUGAAACCUGACAAAUGCCACGUAGGCAUGGCCGAGGUACAGUAUCUCGGCCACAGGGUAGGUUCCAGGAGGCAGCGUCCAGAGCCUGCUAAACUAGAGGCCAUAGCUAAUGGGCCUCAACCCCGUACUAAAACCCAGGUAUUAGCCUUUUUAGGGACGACCGGCUACUACCGAAAAUUUGUUCCAGAGUAUAGCGCCCUGGCCAAGCCUCUCACCGACCUUACCAAAAAGGCCCUACCUAAACAAGUGCCCUGGACCCCAGAGUGCGCGGACACUUUUCAGAGACUUAAAGCUGAAUUAAGUGAGGCCCCUGUGUUGGCAGCGCCCAACCAUACUAAACAAUUUCUUGUACACACAGAUGCUCCAUGUUUGGGCUGGGAGCCGUGUUGAGCCAAGUGGGGGACGACGGCAUGGAACACCUGGUGGCAUACCUUAGCCGUAAACUUUUGCCCAGAGAGGUCAGCUAUGCCACCGUAGAAAAAGAGUGCCUAGCCCUAGUUUGGGCCCUUAAGAAACUUCAACCUUACCUGUAUGGACGACCAUUUACCCUUAUGACCGACCACAACCCCCUUGUGUGGCUAAACCAGGUAGCUGAUCACAACCCCAGGCUAUUACGGUGGAGCCUAGCCCUUCAGCCAUAUAACUUUACUAUGCAAUACCGUCUGGGCAAACAAAACGGUAAUGCAGACGGUCUGUCUUGACAGACCGAACUGGACUCCUAAAGUACUUUUAUCGGACAUCCCCAAGCCAACCCGACAGGGUCUAGGUGGGUAUGCCGACCUAUGGAACUAUAGGGGAGCAGUGUGAAGAAAUCCCUCUUUAUGUUCAGUAUUUCUCCCCUGUUCAUUCGGUAGCUGUAACUACUGAACAGAGGCCACCCCCCUGGCUCGUUAAACUUCAAAGCAUGCCUCAAUUGAACCCUCUACCUGUACUACUGAACGUCACGUGGCUGAGAAAACGGCGGCCAUCUUUUUUUAUGCGAACAAAGGCAGCGGGACUUGGUCGUCGAGUGUCUGGAACUAAAAUCAGAUACUCGACUUCCCGAACACCGGUCUCAACAUACGAACGCUGAAUCUUUAUUUCCCGAACAGCUAGAAGAGCGCUGUUAUGUACUUUUGUUCAUUCGAAUGAGGGGAACAAUCGCUGCUAAGAGCCAGGGGAAACCGUUCGUGGGAUUAUUCAUUUUUUCCCACUUAAUGAAAUAGACCGGCAAAACUACCCAAAUUUAUGGAACUGUUUUGGGCAGCCACCUCAUGGUUAGCCGGUCAAAAAAGACUUCCAGAUUUUUUGAGAACCUCUGAACCGAUCUGGUUGAAAUUUGAAUAUGUUGGUCACCCAGAUCGGUGCUAUCAGGGGACAUAUUGUUUGUGGGGAUACCACAUGCCUAAAGGGGUGUUCUAAAUAUUGUGGAAAACUGUAAUUUUUCUGCCUGGAGAUAAUCAAGUUAUUACUUUAUCAGACUUGAUUAUCUCCAGGACUAGGGGAGGGAAUUGUAUGUUUGUGCUGGGAGUGUUUUACGUUUUUCUUGUAAAUGAUUGGAUGUACUUUGUCCCUCCCUAUGGGAUGUCCCCUUGCAUGGGGACUUGCGUAAAAAAACGUGUGUGAUCAUUAAAAGCCAGUUCUGUUGCAACCUUCUUCUAGACUUUGGCUGAUGUUUGGGGAUUUGUAUGCUUUAUUAAGGGAAUCGUCUUGUAAAGCUAUUGUAUUCGUAUGGAUUUCGUUUAUUUCAUCUACCGAAUGGAGAGCUAUAAUCACUGAUGUUCUGGCUGUUCGGGAGGAAACUACCAAAUGAGGAUUGGAUAUCCUAGGUUUCCUUACAGGCCUAAUAGCUAGGAACUAGCAUGUCUUUCAAAUUUCUGCCCCUGCGUGCUGUCACUGAGGG